rnacentral:pre_miRNA from 1 species
CUUAUAGUCCCUCCAUCCGGAAAUACUUGUCAUAGAAAUGGAUGUAUCUAUAUGUAUUUUAGUUUUAGAUACAUCUAUUUUUAUUCAUUUACGUGAGAAGUAAUUUUGAACGAAGGGUAUUUA